rnacentral:lncRNA from 1 species
GUGUUAUAAACCUUAUAAAAGCAUAAAAUACAUAUAAACAAGUUAACUAUUUAAUAUUCUUACAUUCCCCUCUUUGAGCAAUAAAACAAUUGCUCAUCUUAUCGAUAAAAUCUUACCAGGACAGAGAAACUUCCACAUGGUAUUUUCAGGGGUGCUAGUCACUCCCUGCGGGACUUUCAUUAAUUUCUUCACCUCGAUUCCCAUGUGGUAAUUCCUAAGGCCCAGUUUAAAGAUGGGUUGAUACUCUACAGUGGCAGAGAGGAGAAUUUCUAAUUGUUUCUGUUCUGCAUUAUGGAUUCAUUUCUGUACUCUCUUCCUCAAUGUACAAGUAAGGUGACAGUUAUAUAAAAUCAUACACAAUAAAAUCAGGACUAUAAUAACAAAAUGAUAGAAGAAUGAUUUCAUUAUCUGAGAUCCAGUAGGGGACCAACCAGUGAAGCAUCGUACCAAUGAUGGGCUAAAUCAUUCUGAAUUUGUGAACUCACCUUAAGGAGUUCUCCUUUUAGGAUAUGUGUGGCUACCUGUGUGUGUUAUCUUUGGGAAAAAUAUAGUCCCCUGUGUAUGUGGGUGCCCACCAGGUUAAAUUCUUGGCAAAAAGAUCAUAAACUGGUACUGGUAAUGUGUUAAAUUGACAAGCUAAUUUAACAUCCUUUGAUGAUGUAUGAUAUAAUGUAAAAUAGCAAGAGCAUGAAAAAAUGUGAAGCAUUACCAGUUAACCAUCCAUUGCAUUUAGUGGAUUGGGGUUUUAGAAGUAACCAUUCAUUAUCUGUGAGGUUAAGCAUCCCUCUAAUCUUCUCUAGUUUAGGAAUCAUUAGUGUGUUUUCUAAUGCCAAUCCUUGUUGUUGUAUCCAUAAAUACCUGAUGGCACAAGUACUCCAGUUACCGAGAUCUGUAGUGAAUUUCAUAGUUGCAACAGUUAAAUUAUCUAAAUAAUUAUACAUUGAUUUAUCUAAAUCCAAUCCUAUAACCUGUGAUUUAACAACAAUUGGAGCCCAAUUUGCAGUAGCAUGAAAACCAGUCCCUAUAUGCAUGCUGGCUGUGUUUAACUUAUUCUUGAGGGUCUCCAUAUCUAUAACUAUUUAGUAUACUCAUAGUGGUUCCAGCACCUCCUAACAGUGUGUCAUACCAUUCCCUUUUCUGCCUUUGUUUGUUGUAUUACAUAAUGUUACAACAGGAGUAGUGAUUUUUAAUGACACAUGUACAGCUUGUAAGAAGGCAGUUGUAUUAACACAUGUGGACGGAAUAGGUGUGUGUGUGUCGUGUUUGACUUUUGGUUCUAUGAUAGUGGAUGAAGGACAGUAAUAAGGUGUAAAAAUAUAAGGUAGUGUAUAGUUCUCAAUUGCAGUGUCGUUCAUAAUGACUAACAUUUGUCCCCUUCUCCAAUUAAUGAUACCAGUUAUAUAAUCAUUAUUAAAAGUAAUAAGGCCUGUCUGUUUACAUUGAUAUGCAACCUUAACUGUGCACAUUUCUGCGUUAUAAGAUCUAACAAUUUUCUGUGAACCUUCAAACAAACAUAAUGCAUCGGUUUCAUUAGCUGUGGACACAUUCCAUAUGAGUAAUUGAUACUUAUAAGGGUUAUUAUUUGUCCAAUUCAUCCAAAUGCGUUCAUUGAAUGAAUGAUUGCAUAUUGCAUGCUGAUAGAAAGGUGGUGGAAAAAGGUUCUCGAGGGGGCGUGUGUGACGAAUGCUAGAUGAGGGGCUAAGGCCUAAUUGGGCUGGGGGUAUUGAAGAAUUGUUCAUCAUGUCAGAGUCUUUUUCCAGAACUUGCCAUUGACUUGUACUCAUAAUGGCAUUCAAGGAACAAUAUCAGAGGGAGUAUAACAACUCCAGAAAGCAUAGCACACAACAUAAUCUUGGUCUCAGGUACGUAUGAUCCUCUCAAUCUACGAUAUGGUGUAAAAGCCAUGAUGCUUCGCUGAGGAGAAAUUCUUCUGUUUCCGAGCGAGGAGUGGUGUUGUCUUCCUUGGUUCCCCUCUUUGGACACAGCUUCACUCGGGAUGCGUGAAUCCAGAUGUCAUGUGAAUCUGUGAGGACAGCGGUUCUGGUUACAGCAAUCACAGUAGCAGGUGGUCCAAAAGGGUAUCCUUCUUUCUUGGUCCUGUUCAGCUGACGGAUAUACACCUUGUCACCGGGCUGGUAUGAAUGAGUAGGUUCCUGUGAAGGUCAGGGAAAACUGCGAAGAAACAUUGUCAUACAUACCAUUCGGUUUUAUCAACAAUUCAUCUUGUGGGGAUAUAUUCUUAUCUCAGCUAAAAUAGCUGGUAGAUAUCUAGUCCAAUUUACCCAUGUUCCUGGGUAAAUUCUGGGCUUUUCCUUAAUAGUCCUAUUCAUCCUUUCAACUACCCCUGUAUUCUGUGGAUGAUAGGGUAUAUGAAACUGCCAGGUAACUUGCAAGAAUUUAGCAAGUUCCUGGGCAACCUUACUGGCAAAAACCGGGCCAUUAUCAGAGCCAAUCUGCAGAGGGCAGCCAUACCUGGGAAUAAUUUCAGUAACAAUAAACUUCACUAGAAUCUUCCCUAGAUAUCACAAAGGCCUCAUGCCAUCUACUAAACUGAUUAACUAUGACCAGUAAGUAUUGCUGUUUCUUACCAAUUUUGGAUACAUGAAUAAAAUCAAUCUGUAAGUGUGUAAAAAGAGCAGCGUUCACACGAUCUUACAAAAGACUGUACAUGCUGCCUGAGAUUCCUAAUAUAAAAUGAAUUCAUGAGGAAUUGAAUGGUGCUUGCUAUGUGCCUGACUGAUGAAAAUAAAGCAGCUUGCUUCAAGUAUGCCUAUUCUUCAAGUAUGCCUAUUCUCCCCUCUUUAGAGAACAGAUCAUUUUGAUCUUUCUCUAAACCUUGUUUAAUCCAAAAGACAGAUUCUGGGUAUUUAAAAAAAGAAUCUCAUAACCACUGAAGCGCUGGGCUGUCAUGUGUUGUGUGGUGAGAUUUGUCAGCUGAGUGACCUGGUGACUGGCAUGAAGUAUUGUAGGAUGCCCUAGUGUGAUAGUAGUAGCAGUUUCAACAGCCAUUGCACAUGCUAUCAAUGCUCUGAGACACGCCGGCAUACCCUGUACCGGAGCUCGAACUACUUUGGAAAAGAAUGCUAUGGGACGCAUACCGCCUCCUUGCUCUUGUGCACAGACCGCGGCCAUGGUUUUACAAUUGUCCCAAGCAUACAAAUGAAAUGGUUUACAAUACACAAGUAGUCCUAAAGCCUGGGCUUGCACAAUAACAACUGUAAGGGCAAUAUAUGCAGAUAGCAUGUCUGGUGACCAGCAGACAUUUUCAGGGCUGUCAGAACGUACAGCCUCCCUUAGGAUUGAGUUAUAAUGGGAGCAUUCAGGGAUCCAUUGGCGGCAGUAAUUAAUCAUGCCGAGGAAGGUGAGCAACUCCUUCCGAGUAGUGGGUGUAGGAAUCCUCUGAAUGACCUCAAUACAUUUUGGACUCAAUUGUCUGGUGCCUAAAGCCAGAACAAAACCUAAGUAUUCAACCUUUGAUUUACACAAUUGCAUUUUGUGUUUAACAACCUUGUGACCUACAGUUGCUGACAGUAUCCACAGUGCUUGCCCCAUUGCUAGGGCUACAUAACAACAAAUCAUCAACAUUUUGCAAAAAGGACGGAACCAUGACCGGUGGUCCAUGUUUUUUUAGAGUAUGUUAGAGUACCAACGAAUAAACAGCUGGGGAAUCCACAUAGCCUUGGGUAAGCGUGUCCAGGUAAACUGACAGCCUUCAAAAAGUAAAAACCAUAAGUAGCUGUGUCUCUUGAUCAAUAGGUAUAGAAAAAAAUGUAUUACUUAAAUCAAUGACAGUGAAGCAAGUGGCAUCAUGUGGAAUGGCUGUAAUGAGGGAUGUCACAUCAGGGACAAUGGGUGAAAUGGGCACAAUUAAACUAUUCAGGGU